UAGUGGUUCAACCACUAAAACAUUCCCGCUUUGGAUUCAAGAGCAAACUUGAAUUACAGAAACUCAAGUCUGAGGAAUGGUGGACCUUGUAUGCCAUAGAAAUAUCUGCCAUGCUGUGAGCUGCUUUAUUAAGAUGCCCAAGUGGCAAGGCACUGAUGUCUGUAGCCAAAAGCCAGCAACCCAAGGCCUGCCAAAAGCCACGUGCAUGAACUUGGAAGUGGAUCUUUUCUCAAUUGGGCCCUGAGAUGAUGACAGCACCAGCUAACACCUUGAUGACAGCCUUAUGAGAUACCCUGAGCCAAAGGUACCCAGCUAAGUCAUGUUUGGAUUACUAAUCAACAGAAACGUUGGGAAAAUAAAUGUUUUUGUUUUAAGCUGUUAAAUUUUGGGCUAGAUAGAUAACUAAUAUGUUGUAUAACUACAAUACAGGAUUAUUUUUAUCUAUUAUAUAAA
rnacentral:lncRNA from 10 species